CAUUAUCAUGCAUAAUGCAUUCAAAGUCAGACGUUAUGUUAUGUUAGAUUAUGUAUUCACUAAUACGUGUUUAGAAACUAUAUCACGAUGCUCGCCGCAUUCUGAAUCGGAUUGAUGGCAUUAUUAUUAGGUAACAUUUAGUACCUUGUAGAUCGUCUGACGCAUAUAAUUAAGUAAACAUAGAGUAUGUCUAGGUUAAACAACUAAAUUGAUAUGAAUUUCAAUAUUUCCAUGCUGUAAAUGAACUGAUACAAAUUGUUAUUGCCGUGUCGCAACAAAAAGCAACAUGUUUUUGUGUCUCUAUUGUUACACAAUACCACAACUAAAGUAAAAAUCGUGGAUUGCAACGAAAAGAGAAAGCCAGCAAGCAGACAAACACGAAAAGUGUUCCACCAAGAAGAUAAGAACAACCGCCAAACCAGAUGCGCGCCGUUUUUUAUCGCAGCGCGGAUAAGAACAAGUGCGUGCCAAAGUGUGGGAAGAAAAAAGUCAACAAGAAUAAAAAUAAAUGACCACCGAAGCGAAAAUUUCGGGAAUAUUUAUCCUUCUGGAACUUGCUGACUGUGCGCUGGCUCUGUGUGUAACAAAGUUGCGGUGUAUUUUUGGAAAUUUUUGGGUCACUCGGCUAUAACUCUGCAUUUAUGACAAAAAUAUAUUCAAAACUAUGCGCGUUGUUGAUAGAAUCCAUAUCAACAGCCAGUGCAGAUUAUAUAAUUAAUAAAUUUCCACUGGAAGAUUGUUUAUGACCCCGCGCCACGAUUUCUAACCAAAAAAGGCAAUAAAAACAACACGGCGAUGACCGCGCGCACUGAAUGAUGUGUCUAGCUUACCUUAUUAUUGCAGUCGGGACGUCGACGGGUGUAUAAAUAAUUAUCUUCUAUUUAAAAAAAAGGCGAUGACUAUCCAAUUACGCGUGAAGUCCAGCGAUGUCCAGAUGGGCGCCAGUCCACCGCGCAUUCGAAAGACGCCGACGACUGAACGCGAACAACGACGGCGAACGCUACUUUAAUCGGUGCGCCGUCCACGCAUGCACUGGCAUCUUCGCUUGUUUAUCCGUGGUGUGCUUUUUAGUUGAAAUUGAAAUCGCCGCUGAUGAUGGAUAAACAGAAAUUGCGCGAGUGGCGAGCGUGGCCAUUCCACGACCUCGUAAAUCUCAAAUGUAUCGAUACCUCAACCUGCUACUGACACCCCUGCCAGCACCAUCUGAUUAAAAACCUCCAUAGAUGGCGCUGCCUACUCUGAAAUAUAACUUUAUUUCUAAAUUAAUAAACAAAUUAAUAAAAGAUAUAUUUAUUGGAACAAAA